ACUAAUGAUCUUGAAAUUAUUACCAGGUCGUUGAGCAUGGUCUGGGACAUCUGCCAUUUACAGAAAAACAGGUGGUCACUCCAACUGAGUCCGUGUAUACUGGUGUAGAUUUCUGUAAGAGAUUAUGUGGUGUGUCUAUAAUCAGGAGCGGUGAGAGUAUGGAGAAUGCUCUUAGAGCAUGUUGUAAGGGAAUCAAGAUUGGGAAAAUUCUAAUCCACAGAGAAGGAGACAAUGGCCAGCAGGUUUCGAUUCCCUGUAUGAUUGUCUUUCAUUUUUUAAUCAACGUAUUUCUAUGAUUCCAUUUUUUAAUCAACCUCUAUGAUAAACUAUUGGUGUUCCAGAUGCUGUUCAAAGAGGUGUACAACCAGAUCAGAUUAUUUUCACAGAUGUUGCCAUGAAGGGUGAACAUAUCAAGCGCAGUACUUUAGCAAAUUUAUUCUUGGACACGUAAGCAUGCUUAAUACUUUUUUUUUCUAUUUUUUUAUUAUUCAAGUGUAUUUAUCUUAGUACAAUACAGUAUGUAACUUUAUUUUGACAUUUGAUGUUGCUAUUGCUGAUUGAUUUUGCUAUUGCUGUUUUGUUUCUUUAUUUUUUUUUGGUGGUGUGUGCUCUGUAGCAUUGCAUUUAGUUAGCUUAAUAUUUAGCUCAUAUUUUCUUGAGUCGUUGCACCAGAAUUCCCUUAAUCAAGAGCCAUAUUCUAUCAGAAGUGAAUCAUGUCUUGUUAACAGAAUGAUUUUUCAACUGGUUACAGGUCUUUCCCAGAGCUUGGACAGCAAUUUUGAUUUCUCUAGACAAUAGUGGCAUGUGGAACCUUCGAAUAGACAAUCUAAACUCGUGGUAUCUAGGCCAGGAAACGUACAUUAGUGUUGUAAACUCUGAGUUUGUGAGAAGAAUUGCAGAAGCAGCAGAAAGUAAGUUCAAUUCAAUUUCGUUUUCUGGUUUUAGAUAUGCAACACGCAUUUUAUUGAUGUUUCCUCUUUUUUAUUUCUAUUUAAUGUGAUAAACAUUUCCAAGUCUAUACUUUACAUUUAUUCAAUAAGACCAAAUAAGAAAAGAAGAAGAAAGAAAAAAGUCUACUGUUCUUAAAG